rnacentral:rRNA from 1 species
GACGAACGCUGGCGGCGUGCUUAACACAUGCAAGUCGAACGGAAAGGCCCUGCUUUUGUGGGGUGCUCGAGUGGCGAACGGGUGAGUAACACGUGAGUAACCUGCCCUUGACUUUGGGAUAACUUCAGGAAACUGGGGCUAAUACCGGAUAGGAGCUCCUGCUGCAUGGUGGGGGUUGGAAAGUUUCGGCGGUUUGGGAUGGACUCGCGGCUUAUCAGCUUGUUGGUGGGGUAGUGGCGUACCAAGGCUUUGACGGGUAGCCGGCCUGAGAGGGUGACCGGCCCCCAUGGGCCUUCGGUACGGCCCCGAGUCCUACGGGGGGCAAGAGGGGGGAAUUUUUGACCAAGGGCGGGAGCCCUGUGCAAGCAAGCCGGGGUGCGGAAGGCGGCCUUUCGGUUUUGAAACCACUUUGGCUGUGACGAAGCGUGAGUGACGGUAAUGGGUAAAGAAGCUCCGGCUAACUACGUG